rnacentral:tRNA from 1 species
GGGCCAGUAGUAUAACCUGGUUUAGUAUCUUACCAUGGCAUUUUUAUAACCAUAAUGGUAGGGAUCCGCGUUCAAAUCGCGGCUGGUCCA